UACAAUAGUAGGAUAAAGCAAGUAAGUAAUGAUGCUAAUUUUUCUAAAAACAAUUUUAUAGUAAAGCUAUUUCAAGUGUAAAUUCAAAGUUAAAGUAAUCUUACAUUUGAGGUGGAAAUACCAGUAUGAACUCAUAAUGCUUCCUUUCUCUGUACCCUGAAAAGACCCAGAAUGCCCAGCUGGAGGCAGUGAGCACCCCUCUCCCACCCUCGGUGCCCAGACUCUCGUCUAUAAACGCCAUCUGACCCUAAAGGAAACCAGGUGGGGAUGACUCCACCUGAGCUGGAGCUGUGCGGCAAGAAGGCACAGGAUGGUCCAGGGACAUCCUGCUGUACAAUACCAUCAAGGACUGGGAUCUCCAGGGCCGCCCAUCAGGCCCCACGGCCUCUGCAGUGGGGCGAGGACACACGCGGCCCCAGACGAUAAACUCGGAAGGUGGGACUUACUCGUGUCUGUGCACAGCCAGUAAUUAACAGCUACAGGCUGAGGGAAGUAAGCAUGAGCGGAUGUCAUUCUUCCUGGCCCCAGAAAGAGCACAGAGACCAAACACCCACCGUCUCUCUGCUCGCUGGACUCUUUAUGUGGUGCUCCAGACAUUUAGUGGCUGUGAGCUUGAAGUGCAUGAAGCGGAGCACAGUCCUCCAGCGUGAUGUGACGGUGGGUGUGAGUUUGCUUCCAGACAGAUCUCCAGGCCCUGGACCCGUGUCCAGCUGCAGGUGAGUUCACCAAGGUUAACUUGGCACAGCGGGGCCCUCUCCCUGCGAGUUCUCUCUCCGUGGUGCCUCCUGAGGUCCGUAAGGUGCCCGAGCCGACCCAGGGGGACCUGGUUACACAUGGUGAUGCUCCCCAAGUCGCCGUCCGUCGCUGAGCGUGAGACAAUUCUCACACAUCCAGCGUCCCGCCAUCAUCGCUGGUUAUUAGGGCGUUAACAGUAUCUUAAACGUGUGCUGUGGGAACGGGCUGUUGAUGGCGAAGAAACGAAUCUUUCUGGCAGUCAAAGACUGCUCUCUUUCAAAAAGCAAACUCAUUUUGUAAACGCCUUUAAGAGACACCGGACUGCCUGGAAGCGUGGUCCCCGACCACCUGAGCACCUGCUGCAGAGGCAAAUCCUCCAGUCCCGCCCCGCAUCCGCGGGCCCCAAAAGUCCCUGGGAUACGCUGUGGGUGGCCGUGCCGACGCGCCACCUCGGAGAGAGGGUGCAGUGAUCAUGUAUCUGGGGACAGAGACUGGCUUGGGGACACCUGCCCAGCUGGCAGAGCGGGUGGCCACUGGCCUCUAGAGAGCGUCCUACGAGGUCACGCUGCUCAGAGGAGAGGAGACACCGUGCCCUCCUCCUUCAUCGCACCCAACUGGGAGUGGCGGCUGCCGAGCUCUCUCGUGAACGUGGCCCCUGUGAGGAGAAUGCACUCUUUCCUGGGCGGAUUUCUUUUUUUACUCUAUCCAUUUUAUUUGCUUUGCGUCCCUUCCAGAUUGCGCGUGUCCCCCUUGCAAGAAAGCGGCUGGGUGUGAACACGGAGUGGGAGGCAGAGGGAGGCGGAGGGCACGAUGGGGGGACGUGCAGACUUCAGAGGGGGCUUCAGGGCCUAACCCUCGAAGACCAGCCAACACGAGGCAAAUUGGCAUCUUGUGAGUGGCCAGAGACUGACAGCUGGAAUUACAGUCGAACCGAGAGCCCACAGCACUUUCCCGCGUUCACUUGUGUUUGUGAAAUCCCAGGAAAAACAUGUAUUUUGAACAGAAACUUUAAGAUUAGAGAGAAAAGAGUUGAGUGCCAUUCUCCAAGGCUGGAGCGAGCGUGCUGCAUGUUCGGGAAGAUAAUUGAGUCCCCGGCGCCUGGGGACGCGUCUGCCUCUCCCUCUGUCUGCAAGAUCUUUCCUCCCCUGCCACCUCCUCCAACUCCUUCUUCUUAUCUCCACCCAAGUCUCCAUUGUGUAGUUCGGGGAAUGAAGUUUCAUGCUUCCUGUUCUCGGUUUCCACACCCACAUCUCUCACCUUCUUCCCUGCAGGCCCCGACUACCGUCUCCCUGGAGGGCCGCACGCCGCGGCCAGCUCGCUCCCCGGGGCGGG